GUGGAAAUUAUGGCUCCUGUCUUUUCUCGAAAAGCUUGGCGAUGUGUAUGGCACAUGAUUCAGAAAGAACAUUGAAGUAUCCAAUUGGAGAAUAUUCACUCUACUUGCUUGGACACAGAUUAUAUGUAGGACGUGGGAUGCAAGAAAGCCAUGUCUCUGUGCUGAAGUACACAUUGUUCUGGAUACUAGUACUAUUGAGCAGAUUUUCUUUCAACUACUGGUUUGAGGUAAG